rnacentral:tRNA from 1 species
GGGCAAUUAGCUCAGUUGGUUAGAGCGCCACCUUUACACGGUGGAUGUCGGGGGUUCGAGUCCCUCAUUGCCCACCG